rnacentral:rRNA from 1 species
UACGGAGGGUGCAAACGUUGCUCGGAAUCAUUGGGCGUAAAGCGCACGUAGGCGGCCUGUUAAGUCGGGUGUGAAAGCCCGGAGCUCAACUCCGGAAUUGCCAUUGAAACUGUUUGGCUCGAGUACGAGAGAGGUGAGUGGAAUUCCCAGUGUAGAGGUGAAAUGCGUAGAUAUCGGGAGGAACACCUGUGGCGAAAGCGGCGCACUGGACCACAACUGACGCUGAGGCGCGAAAGCUAGGGGAGCAAACAGG